rnacentral:rRNA from 1 species
GACGAACGCUGGCGGCGUGCUUAACACAUGCAAGUCGUACGGUAAGGCCCUUUCUGGGGUACACGAGUGGCGAACGGGUGAGUAACACGUGAGUAACCUGCCCACAACUUUGGGAUAACGCUAGGAAACUGGUGCUAAUACUGGAUAUGUGCUCCUGCUGCAUGGUGGGGGUUGGAAAGCUCCGGCGGUUGUGGAUGGACUCGCGGCCUAUCAGCUUGUUGGUGGGGUAGUGGCCUACCAAGGCGGCGACGGGUAGCCGGCCUGAGAGGGUGACCGGCCACAUUGGGACUGAGAUACGGCCCAGACUCCUACGGGAGGCAGCAGUGGGGAAUAUUGCACAAUGGGCGCAAGCCUGAUGCAGCAACGCCGCGUGCGGGAUGACGGCCUUCGGGUUGUAAACCGCUUUCAGCAGGGACGAAGCUUCUUGUGACGGUACCUGCAGAAGAAGCACCGGCUAACUACGUG